rnacentral:rRNA from 1 species
UACGGAGGAUGCGAGCGUUAUCCGGAUUUAUUGGGUUUAAAGGGUGCGUAGGCGGUUUGAUAAGUUAGAGGUGAAAUGUCGGGGCUCAACCCCGAAACUGCCUCUAAUACUGUUGGACUAGAGAAUAGUUGCGGUAGGCGGAAUGUAUGGUGUAGCGGUGAAAUGCAUAGAGAUCACACAGAACACCGAUUGCGAAGGCAGCUUACAAAUCUAUAUCGGACGCUGAGGCACGAAAGCGUGGGGAGCAAACAGG